GAAGCAAGCGGGAGGGCUGCGCGAAUCGGGCCGGGGAGAUUCAGCACAGCCGGCACGGUGUCCGCCGCGGCCCCGCAUCCCCCUAGCCGGGUGGCGGGGCCCGGGGGCGCCCCUGGUGCACCGCCGCCCUGCUGCCAGCACCCCCCGGGUGCGGCUGAGGAAAAGCGGGCAGGCUAGGGCCCGAAAGAUGGUGAACUAUGCCCGAGCAGGACCAAGCCAGAGGAAACUCUGGUGGAGGUCCUCAGCGAUUCUGACCUGGAAAUCGAUCGUCCGACUUGGGUAUAGCGGCAAAAGACUAAUCGAACCGUCUAGUUGCUUGUUCCCUCCGACGUUUCCUCAGGAUAGCUGGCGCCUGGGAAAGAGAGAGAGAGCAGUUGCAUCCGGUAAGCGAAUGAUUAGAGACCUUUGGGCCGAAAUCACCUCAACCUAUUCUCAAACUCAAAAUUGGGCCGGGCCCUCAAUGCACGGGCGCCCAGUGGGCCAUUCUUAGUAAGCAGGACUGGCGCUGCAGGAUGAACCGAACGGCGGGUUAGGGCGCUGCAUUGCGGCCGACGCUCAUCAGAGCCCAGAAAAGGCGUUGGUUGAAACAGACAGCGGGAGGUGGCCAUGGAAGUCGGAAUACGCCAAGGAGUGUGAAACAACUCACUUGCCGAAUCAACUAACCCUGAAACUGGAUGGCGCUGAGCGUGCCGCCCACACACAGACGUCGGGGCAGAGAGCGAGUGGGACCGCCGCCCUGGUGGUACGCCCCGGCGAGUAGGACGGCCGCCGCGGUGCGCGUCGAAGCACCUGCUGCGAGGCCGCGGGGCCGCGUGGAGCCGCUGCGGGAGCAGAUCUUGAUUGUAGUAGCAAAUAUUCGAGUGAUAUCCUCGAGGGCCGAGUGGCGGAGAAGGGUUCCAUGUGAACAGCACUUGUAUAUGGGUCAGUCGAUCCUAAGCCUCAGGGAAAAUCCUCCCCGAGCGGAGACGGGCGCCCCCCUCCUUGCGGGGCCGGGGCCUCGCCCCCCGUGCGAAAGGGAAUCAGGUCAACAUUUCUGAACCCGCAGGGGGAGCCCUCCGUCCUCCACGGCGGUCCGAGCUGCGAAGCAAGCGAGCCCGCAGACGCCGGCCUUGGCCCCGGGAAGAGUUUUCUUUUCUUGGUAAGGGGCGGGAUCCCUGAAAUCGGCUUGUCCAGAGCUAGGGGCUGCGGCCCCGUAGAGUGCCGCGUCUCCAGCGGCGUCCUGCGAGCUCCAGCCGGCCCUUGAAAAUGCGGGGGAGUGCGUGGACUGUCGCCUCGGGUCGUACCCAAAACUGCAGCCGGUCUCCAAGGUGAACAGCCUCUGGUCGAUAGAACAAUGUAGGUAAGGGAAUUCGGCAACCUGGAUCCAUAACUUCGUGAGAAGUAUUGGCUCUGAGGGCUGGGUCGGUCGGGCCGGGGCUGGAAGCGGGUCGCGGCGCCCCAUGUCCGCGCCAUGUCCGAGCGGCGUCACUUCCUCCCCCCCGCCAGACCGCAGGGCCGUACGCACGCAAGCCACCCUCCGUCCCCUCCGCCGCCCGCCCCGUCAAAGGGGCGCGGCCGCCGGUCGAAAGCGGCGGGCGGGUCACGGCACGCGGCACCUGCGGACCCAGGCGCCUGGCGGGGGACCCCGUCAGGCCGGCGCGCUGGCUCCCGAGCCCGGACCGGCGUGGGACCCGCCUCGUCGACAUUCCUUGCUGCGCGGCCGCCUCGUUGCGGUCGCUUCGGCCGGUGCCCAACAGCCGGCUCAGAACUGGUACGGACCAAGGAAUCCGACUGUCUAAUUAAAAUAGAGCAUCGCAACGUCCGCAGCCGGGGCGCUGAGGCGAUGUGAUUUCUGCUCAGUGCUCUGAAUGUCAAAGUGAAGAGAUUCAGCGAAGCGCGGUUAAACGGCGUAAGUAACUAUGACUCUCUUAAGGUAGCCAAAUGCCUCGACAUCUAAUUAGUGACGCGCAUGAAAGGGUUAACGAGAUUCCCACUGUCCCUAUCUACUCUCUAGCGAAACCACAGCCAAGGGAACGGGUUUGGCAGAAUCAUCGGGGAAAGAAGACCCUGUUGAACUUGACUCUAGUCUGACCUUGUGAUGGGGCACAGGGGUGUAGGAUAGGUGGGAGGGCCCCGGCCCGACGGUGAAAUACCACUACUCUCGUCAUUUCUUUACUUAGCCGGUGAUGCGGGGAGCGGGCCCCACGCGGGCCGAGUCUUCUUGCGCUACGCGGCCGGCCGCCUCACGGCGCCGACGGCCGCCACCCGCUCUGGCGACAGCGUCAGGCGGGGAGUUUGACUGGGGAGGUACAUCUGUCAAAGGGUAACGCAGGGGGCCUAAGGUGAGCUCAUCGAGAACAGAAAACCCCUUGCGGAGCAAAAGGGCAAAAGCUCGUUUGAUUUUGAUUUUCAGUAUGAAUACGGACCGUCAAAGCGUGGCCAACCAAUCCUUUUGAGCUUUGGAGUUUGAAGCAAGAGGUGUCAGAAAAGUUACCACAGGGAUAACUGGCUUGUGGCAGCCAAGCGUUCAUAGCAAGGAGGGCCGGCCAGCGGCCUUCGGGCGGGCCGAACCCUGAGGAGGAGGAGACCGGGGAGGACUGGCGGCGGAGGAGGAUAUGGCACAGCCGGAGGAGGGCCCGCCAGGACUGACGGCGGAGUGAACUGGCGC
rnacentral:rRNA from 1 species